UUUUGGCACUGUGAGCAGGAUACCAAAACCACUCUGUUCUUCUGGAAGCCACAGCCCAGGGAACCUAGGAUCUGAGAAGUUCACAAAAGGACACACUUCCUGCCACUGCUGAGAACUGACUGGUGAGUGGAUGAGGCAAACAUCUUCCCAGGUCAUGAGGGGAAAGGCUGCUGACUUAGCUUGUGUUGAAGUCUGAAUGGAAGCCAUUUAUGGAUAUGCAAAGAGGAAUGGAUAAUUGAUGAAGCAUGGUAACAAAGAUUAUUUUCAUCUGAGUACAAAGAUAAAGGUUGCCAUAGCCAUUGGAGAUCACACCAUGACUUGCUUCCCGACCACCUGGAUUUUAUGUGAAGUCACAUGUUCUUAGAAAAACAGACUUUUAAGACACUCUUCUGCGAUCUGACAUUUUCAAGUCUGUUGGGCUCAACAUGCAAGAACGAGAUCAGCCUACAGUACAGACUGGGAUGUACCCUCAGAUCCCUGAGCUGGAAGGAGAAGGGGCAAGAGAGGAUUGGGGUCCAGAGCCAAAGAGGACUGAGGGAGACAAAGGCAGCUGAGACAAAAUGACCCAUUAUCAGAAGCCCUACGUAAAGCCAAGAAACAAGCCAGACUAAAUCCCCAGCAACUGCAUUGAAGCCAGCAGAAGAAGUGCAAUCAGGUGGCUUGGCAGGAGCAGCAUCCACUUUUUCUUGGGCAUUCUUUU
rnacentral:lncRNA from 10 species